GAGUUUGAUCCUGGCUCAGGACGAACGCUGGCGGCGCGCCUAAUGCAUGCAAGUCGAGCGACGCAUUCCUUAGCCCGUAAGGGCGGGUUUGACGGAGCGGCGAACGGGUGCGUAACACGUGACCAAUCUGCCCCGAAGACCGGGAUAGCCCGGGGAAACCCGGAUUAAUACCGGAUGAUCUCAUAGCAACGCAUGUUGGGAUGAGCAAAGGUUCAGGCGCUUCGGGAUGAGGUCGCGGCCCAUCAGCUUGUUGGUGAGGUAACGGCUCACCAAGGCAACGACGGGUAGCUGGUCUGAGAGGACGAUCAGCCACACUGGAACUGAGAUACGGUCCAGACUCCUACGGGAGGCAGCAGCAGGGAAUCUUGCGCAAUGGGCGAAAGCCUGACGCAGCGACGCCGCGUGCGGGAAGAAGGCCUUCGGGUUGUAAACCGCUUUUCUGAGGGAAGAGAAAGGACGGUACCUCAGGAAUAAGCCUCGGCUAACUACGUGCCAGCAGCCGCGGUGAUACGUAGGAGGCAAGCGUUGUCCGGAUUUACUGGGCGUAAAGGGCGAGUAGGCGGCCCGCUAAGUCUCAUGUGAAAUCUCCCGGCUCAACUGGGAGGGGUCAUGAGAAACUGGCAGGCUUGAGGUCAGCAGAGGAAAGCGGAAUUCCCGGAGUAGCGGUGAUAUGCGUAGAUACCGGGAGGAACACCAGAGGCGAAGGCGGCUUUCUGGGCUGCACCUGACGCUGAGGCGCGAAAGCGUGGGGAGCGAACCGGAUUAGAUACCCUGGUAGUC
rnacentral:rRNA from 1 species